rnacentral:lncRNA from 11 species
CCUCCCACCACCUCUCUAAAUCCAGGAGGUGGGAGGUGAGGAGGAGCAGCUAUCCGCAGCCUUGAGCACUGGAAAUCCAAGAUUUAUACACAGAAGUGCUGUGGGAGUUCCAGUUGGGAAAAAAUAAAGUUUUCAGAAG